AUUGAACGCUGGCGGCAGGCCUAACACAUGCAAGUCGAGCGCGAAAGGCUUUCGGGCUGAGUAGAGCGGCGGACGGGUGAGUAACGCGUAGGAAUCUACCUGGUAGUGGGGGACAACUUGGGGAAACUCAAGCUAAUACCGCAUACGCCCUAAGGGGGAAAGCGGGGGACCUUCGGGCCUCGCGCUAUCAGAUGAGCCUGCGUAGGAUUAGCUUGUUGGUGAGGUAAAGGCUCACCAAGGCGACGAUCCUUAGCUGGUCUGAGAGGAUGAUCAGCCACACUGGAACUGAGACACGGUCCAGACUCCUACGGGAGGCAGCAGUGGGGAAUAUUGCGCAAUGGGGGCAACCCUGACGCAGCCAUGCCGCGUGUGUGAAGAAGGCCUUCGGGUUGUAAAGCACUUUAAGUGGGGAGAAAAGGGUGAUUGUUA
rnacentral:rRNA from 1 species